rnacentral:rRNA from 1 species
UACAGAGGUCCCGAGCGUUGUUCGGAUUCACUGGGCGUAAAGGGUGCGUAGGUGGUGAGGUAAGUCGGAUGUGAAAUCUCCAAGCUCAACUUGGAAAUGGCAUUGGAAACUACCUUGCUGGAGGUUUGGAGGGGGGACUGGAAUUCUCGGUGUAGCAGUGAAAUGCGUAGAUAUCGGGAGGAACACCAGUGGCGAAGGCGACUUCCUGGCCUGUUCUUGACGCUGAGGCGCGAAAGCUAGGGUAGCAAACGGG